rnacentral:rRNA from 1 species
AAAGCGGUACGCGAGCUGGGUUCAGAACGUCGUGAGACAGUUCGGUCCCUAUCCGGCGCGGGCGGAGGAUAUUUGAGAGGAGCUGCCCCUAGUACGAGAGGACCGGGGUGGACGGACCACUGGUGUAUCAGCUGUCGACCAACGGCAUAGCUGAGUAGCCAAGUCUGGACGGGAUAAACGCUGAAGGCAUCUAAGCGUGAAGCCCCCCUCAAGAUGAGAUAUCCCCUCCUUCAAGGAGAUAAGAUCCCUUAAAGACGAUAAGGUAGAUAGGUUCAAGGUGUAAGUGCAGUAAUGCAUUCAGCUGAUGAAUACUAAUAGAUCGAAGGUUUAUUCU